rnacentral:piRNA from 1 species
UUGGUCAGAGUCACACUUAGGUAUUUUAU